rnacentral:lncRNA from 1 species
UUUUCUAUUUUAAUGGCUACAAGCACUGGGUUGCUGUGCUACGCCAAUGACAACAAAGUUAAGGAAACGAUUUUUAUACAUAUACAAACGUUACAAAGAGUAUAAAGAAUUUAGAAUACAAGUCAGUUAAGCUGAAAAAAUAAAAUAAAUUAUUGUAAAGACUCUUUGAUUGUAAAGUAUAUAAUAAAUGUGAAAGUAACUACUUGAUACUUGAAAUGAAAUUAUAGUUUUAUGUCAUUUUCUACAAUGAAAGAAGAUAUAGCUUUGUAAAUAUCAAUAUUAAAUACGAGUAAAUUAGAAAUACAAGUGGGAAGAGGAAUAUUAUGGGAUAUGAGACGAUUUAUGAAUGAAGAACGAUCAUAACGUGGACAAGAGAAGAAAAUGUGAUUAAGGUCUCCGACCUCCUCACCACAUUCACAAGCACUACUGCCAAUAAUAUGAAGCCUGGCAAGAUUUUACAAAUUCUAUGCAGACGUGCCCGUUUUCUUUUAUUUACAUUGGAUGUUGAACAAUCAGUAUCCAUACUAGAGGCAGUAUCUACAGUUAUGAACUGUGAAGGUUCAGGAACAACACCCCAGGGUCUGGGGGCUCCUUCAUCCUGCUCAUAAUAUAUUAAAUUUUAUUAAAAAAAAACUUACCAA